ACUUGUCUGUGUUUCUGAAUUCUCAGAAGCAGCAGAGUCAAAUAGGUGAGAUCUGUUUUCCCCUAAAGAUGAGGAUUUCCUGCUGUAUCACAUAUGGCUAACCUCAGUGAAGUUUUAGCUAAUGAAGCAAUGAUAGUGUCAAACGCAUUUCACGUCAUUCUUUGAGAGGAAUAUAAUGGAGCUGAUUGAGGGCUCUGCAGACAUUAAAGGCCAUUCAUGUGUUAGCAAUAUGGUUUCUCUGUGGUGCUGUGCCUUCAGGCUUACAGUUAUGAAAGUGUUUGUAACAUUUUCAAGGGUUACAGCAUGAAAAAAACUGAGCAAUUGCAUUUCCCAGAGUCUGUCAACUACUUAUCUGAAAACUAAAAACCAGGUUCUCACAUCAGGUUGACUUAUUUAUUACAUAGCGUAUUACAUGCCCAUAUAAUGUACAGGGCACACAAUCAAUUGUUUUUCUGCUAAAAAUGAGAUUCAGUAACAACAUACACUUUAUUUUUCACACUCCAGCAAGUGUGCACCAGCAUGCAAUUUUAUGACUUUGAAAGAGAAAUGAAAGCUGGAUAACAUCUUUAACUUUAUUUCAGUUUUAUGAAUGUCCAGAUGUGCUUCUCCUCAGUGGAUCCUGUCUGUUCCAAUACCUAACUGCUAACAGACAUGGCAAAGCAAGGAGAAACCAUUGAGAUAUCUUGUGUUCCCUGUAAAAAAGUGUAUUAAAUAACAUACUCCUAAUUCACACACUUUAGAGACCACCCAGAUAUUUCCAGAGCUGCCAUAUACCUACAACUGUUAUUUUUGCAAUGUAUAUUCAAAUGCAUUAAGACUGAGUAAAACUAGACUGUAAUUGUUGAAGGCCACACACCAGAUUACAUUGAAUUCUGCUGUUUAGUAAUUUAAAGAGAUUCCAGCCUGAGAAAACAUUAUUUUUUUUUCAAUGUUUUGGCCAUGAUUAGUGCCUCAGUGAGGUUCUACUAUGAUUUAAUUUACUGUAAGCAGUGUCAUUUUAUCAGUAGCAUGCCACAUGUAUUGCCUGCGCAUUUCCUUAAAGCCUAAUUAACCUUCAAUAUUGCAUGGGUUAGUUAGUGUUGAAGGCUCGAGUGCUGGGGUUGUUUUAGCUUGUGUUUCCUUUUAACACCGACCUUUUCAAAUUCCCUCCUAGAUAAUGGGAUACGACUUUUAAAUGGAAGAUAUAGCUUUCAAAAUGAUUUAAGAUAAUAAGAGAUAAAACAACAGAGGAGCUGAAAAAACAGAUAGUGUUUCGGAGUUAAAAGGAAAACAACUAUCAGUGCCCCUAGCAAUUGUAUAAUUUGGAGACAUUUGAAAAAGACAGGUCUUUAGAGGAGGAAAAAAUGCCCUAAACUGAACACCACUGCUUUGGGGUUGUGAAUUUCAGCUAGUGUGAAACAUGCGGGGUACAGAUAAACUGCAUCUGAUGUAAAGCUUCACUGCAUAGAGUUAAACCAGCAGAAAAUUUGAGUAGGAGGAAUGAGCUCAGGCUGGACCAAAACUCCACUUUGUGUGGCCGUGGCAGCUUUGGUCCCAUGUUACCAACCUGAAUAGGAGGAAUAGGCUUAUACUGGGGGAAGAACAGUUCUGAUUGCAAAGGAAAGGUAGGGUGUGCAGUGCUCUAAUUUGUUGUGCUCUGGCUACAUCAGCUGCUGGAUUCAAACAGCUCAGAAAGACCCACAAGUCCCACAGUGCUGUCUGAGCUCUGCCCUGGGCUGCUGCUCCUUCAAAAAUGUCUGGAGGACCCAGUCCAAGGUGAUGAUGGAUGUUUACCAGCUGUGAGAGUCAUCACGGGAAACUGCUGCUGCUCUGAAGAGGGAAAAUUCAUUAAAGUUGCCCUUGUGAAGUUGAACAGAGUUUGCUGCUUUGUCUGGAUAUAUUGAAACACAAAUAAUCCACAUUUCAGCUCCAUUUUAGGAGGUACCCAGAGUCUUUCUUGACAUUCUCCAUUUUGUGCAACCACCUGGAUCAGGUGGAAGUGAGGUUGCCCUGUGCAUAUUUCUGUUACAUUGGCAGAAGUGCCCCAGGAUUUCUUUGGGAAAGGGAUCCUCUCAAAUCCCAUGUGCGCUGUGCUCGGGAGGGAAGGGGUUUGCAGAUGGUGCCUCCAAUGGGAGCAGGCAGGAAGGACUUGGCAAUUCCUCACUACCUCCUUGCAAUGGCAUUGAUCUGACCAGGAAAAUGAACAGAAGUCCCCACAUCCUCACCACCAUGUUUUUAACCAAAAGGUAAGUCUGCUGAUUCCUCUGACAGACACAGGCCUCCCCAGCCUGCAAGCCCAGUUCUUGCAAUAGAUGCAGCCAGAUGUAUAUGCAGGGAAGCUCUUUGUGCAUCAAUGACCAAGGAGAAAAGGUGUUUUUACUGGAUCAGCCAAAGAAAAGUUUUUCUCCUCCUUCCCUAACGCAGCUAUGGCACUCUUUUCUCUUGUGCCUGAAAUCCCUGUGUCUUAUCACAAGUGAAAAGGGAGCCCCUUGUGAAACAUGUAUGAACUUUGCAAAUGUUAUCUUAAGCAUUUUAUUCCAGCAUGCAUGUCAUCAAAUGCAAGGGCCCUUAUAAAACACCCGAGGGAGCAGAAGGCCAAAGGUGGAGCUGAGUCUUGGCUUGAGAUAUUAGACACUUAUUGGUUGUAAUUCUCACUUCACAGCACAGAGAUGAAAUGCUAAGCAAAAAAAAAAAAUCUUAUUUCUUUAAUAAGGGAAUGUCUAGACUCCAUUCUUUCUAGUCCUGAAUCUGAUAAUAUAACAUCAGCAUCUUGUUCUUGGCAUUGAAGUCCUCUGCUGAAGCAAUGCAUUUAUAGCUCCGUACCCACUUAAAAACCAGUGGGCCAAACAAGUUACUGAAUAAGCCCAAGUGCUGUGGUUUUACCUGGGGAUCCUUUCAGUUAAAUGAGAAUGCACCAGGAUUUGUGGUUCCCCCAGGGAGCAAGAUGAGAGGAAAAUGCCUGUGCAGACGGGGAGGAAGAGCUGGGAGUCUUGUGAAGAUGGAAAACACGAGCUAGAAUCAUUCUCCUUCCCUCUUGAGCCACAUUUUCAUUUCAAACACAGCACUGUCCUUUCUCA